AUGGUUGCCCAUCAUGGGGUCUGAAUAGCAGCAAGAAAUAGUUGGCCUUAAUAGCAGCAAGAAAGGACGAAGAUCAAUGUGAUUGAUAUCCUGAUGUUUGUAAAAGAGCAUAACAGGUAAUAGUUUAUUUGUUUUGCACACUAAUGCAUUGAUUGAGCUAUCAUUUUUUGUUGAAAUUUGAGUUGAAUGCUAUAACAAUUAGAAUUGCUCUUUGCAAUCUUACAAAAAAUGAUGCAGGUGGUUCUUAACAAUAGAAAGAUCAGGUGGAAGUAGUUUGCACAUCUGUGCAUUAAUAUUCUUCAAAGAAAUAGGAGAUCCAAUGAAGCUUGCGCUAUGUAUGAGAAGCUGCAGUCUCACCCAAAUGUGGGCAUGAGCAAAUAAAGCGCGGCAGUUUGUGUUCAGCUUCCAAAUGUCUUCAAAGUUUUUUUUUUAUUAUUAUAAGUUUAUUACAAAUUCAGCUAAAUGAUGUUUACAAAUGUCUCCUUAAAUUGAAAUGGGAUGGUAACUUAGUGUAUAUUAGGCAACUUAUAUGUAUAUU
rnacentral:lncRNA from 1 species